rnacentral:ncRNA from 1 species
AUUUGGUCCUAUCUUAUUAUCAGCUUAUACUUAACUUACACAUGCAAGUCUCAGCAACCCAGUGAAUACGCCCUUAAACCUACAAGGAAAAGGAGCUGGUAUCAGGCACAGAUUCUCUAGCCCACAACACCUAGCAUCGUCACACCCCCAAGGGUAUUCAGCAGUGAUUAACAUUGACAGUAAGCGACAGCUUGACUCAGUUAAAGUAUAAUAAAGCUGGCCAACUCGGUGCCAGCCGCCGCGGCUACACCGCUGGACUUAAGUUGAUAGUCAACGGCGUUAAGCGUGUUUUAAGUAAGUAACAAUUAGAGUUAAAUCCAAGCCAAGCCGUGAUACGCUCGCUCUACGAAAACACAUAAUCGAAAGUUAUUCUAAUUAAUCUCUUGAAUCCACGACAGUUAAGAAACAAACUGGGAUUAGAUACCCCACUAUGCUUAACCGUAAAAUAUAUACUUACACUUCAAAUCGCCGGAGUAUUACGGGCGAGAGGCCUAAAACUCAAAGGACUUGACGGUGUCCCACCCACCUAGAGGAGCCUGUUCUAUAAUCGAUGAUCCCCGAUAAACCUAACCACUUUUUGCUAAUCAGUCUGUAUACCUCCGUCGCAAGCUUACCAUGUGAAUGACAAUUAGUGAGCAAGAAGAUCCCUACAUCAAAACGUCAGGUCAAGGUGCAACCCACGAAGUGGGUAGAAAUGGGCUACAGUUUCUAAUUUAGAACAUACGAAAAUCUUAUAUGAAAAAUAAUUAUGAAGGCGGAUUUAGCAGUAAGGGGGAAAUAAAGUGUCCCCCUUAACUUGGCACUGGGACGCGUACACACCGCCCGUCACCCUCUUCAAUCAAAAUUACUGACAGUCAAUGACAAUAAUAUAUUACUCAAGAAGGGGCAAGUCGUAACAUGGUAAGCAUACUGGAAAGUGUGCUUGGAUUAACAAAAUAUAGCUUAACUAAAGCUCUUCGCUUACACCGAACACAUAUCUGUUCAACUCAGAUUAUUUUGAGCCUUAUACUCCGCCCCCCCCCCCCCCAAAAAAAUAAAAACCUCCUCCCCAUUUUUCUUAUUAUAAAACAUUUUAACAACUUAGUAAACGCGAUUAAAAAUUUAACAAGAGCUAUAUAUAAAGUACCGCAAGGAAAAGUGAAAUAGAAAUGAAAUAAACAAAAAGCAAGUAAAAGCAGAGAUUAAUACUCGUACCUUUUGUAUCAUGGUCUAGCUAGUCCUAACAAGCAAAUUACCCCAUUUAGCUUGUACCCCCGAAACUAGGCGAGCUACUCAAAAACAGCUUUAUCGAGCCAACCCGUCUCUGUUGCAAAAGAGUGGGAAGAUUUUUAAGUAGAGGUGACAUGCCUAUCGAGCCAAGAGAUAGCUGGUUGCUCAAGAAAAGAACCUUAGUUCUGCCUCAAAUCUUACAUAGCAUUCAAUAUGCUUAUUUUGAGAGUUAUUCAAAUAUGGUACAGCCUAUUUGAUAUUGGAUACAACCAAAAAUUUAGGGUAAUGUAACUGUUAUUCAACCAAGUUGACUUAAAAGCAGCCAUCCUAAAAAAGCGUUAUAGCUUAAUUGAUAUAUUAAUUAAUACCCCUUAUUAUGCAAAUCCCUAACCCAGUAUUGAGCAUUUUUAUAAUUUAUAAACGAUAUUAUGCUAGAACUAGUAACAAGAAGACUUCUCCAAAAUGUAAGUAUACCUCAAACAUGAACAUUACUAUAACUAGUAAUAACUCCCUCCUAGAAACCCUUACUAAUUUCUUAUAUUAAACUUACACAAGAACACUCCUGGAAAGAUUAAAAUAAAAAGAAGGAACUCGGCAAAUUUUAGUCUCGCCUGUUUACCAAAAACAUCACCUCUUGAUUAAAUAUAAGAGGCCCCGCCUGCCCAGUGAUUAUUUCAACGGCCGCAGUAACCUAACCGCGCAAAGGUAGCACAAUCACUUGUUCUCUAAAUAAGGACUAGUAUGAACGGCAUCACGAAGACUAUACUGUCUCCUUUUUAUAAUCAGUGAAACUGAUCUUCCCGUGAAGAAGCGGGAAUUAUUAUAUCAGACGAGAAGACCCCAUGGAGCUUUAAGUCAAACACCAACUGCUAUACUAAAUCACUAUAACUUUGGCAGAUCUGACUGUUAACUUUCGGUUGGGGUGACCACGGAGUAAAAUAAAACCUCCACAAUGAAUGAACCAAAUCCUAAUUCAAGAAUUACACUUCUAAAAAUCAAGACAUUGUCUUUUAUUGACCCAAGCCUUUGAUCAAUGAACCAAGUUACCCUGGGGAUAACAGCGCAAUCCAUUUCAAGAGCUCCUAUCGACAAAUGGGUUUACGAGCCUCGAUGUUG